rnacentral:lncRNA from 1 species
GAGAAAUGUUGGGAGGAUUUCCAGAAAUCUUAAUUUUAUACCUUAUCCAGGAGAGAGUAGAAGGAAAAGAAAGAACCUCAAAAGUAAGAACUCAAAGAAGCUCAAGGGCAGGCCUCCAGUCGCACCAAUCCUGGUAGCUUUAGUCAACCCUAAAACUGGAGUUCAUACUCAGUUGACUACAGCAGGUAAAACAAAUAUUUGCCCAACCUGUCCCAUGUGUCAGGGCCUAAAAGAAAUAAAAGGGAUUGCAGUUUGCUUUUGUUUUUGUUCUAAUUACUAUUCUCAGACUGUUACCUCCCCAAGCCUAGUGCCAUGCUGCAUAGAUAUGCUGACUCCACUCAGCACCUGCCUCUGGAGCAGUUAGAAUGACUCUAAGAAAAACACUAAAAGGUUAGUAAGAUGAGAAAAAUAGGUGUCUGAGCAUAUUCUUUAACUGACAACAACUCAGAUCGUUUCAAAAAUUUGUUAAGAACUACUCAGCCAAUCUACCUGGCUUUGUAAAGGCCUCUUUCUCUGCAAAUCAGUAUGCUCAGAAAAAAUUCUGCUUCCUGGGAUCCACACAGCACAGCUCUAGGAGGUGCCAUUCCCAGCAAGUCUGUAUGAAUGGCACCCCAUGGAGUUGUGUGGAUUUUACAACCCGCAAGGCCAAACAUGGCAGCCCUCUUUGUUCCUGGCUCCACAUUAAGUGGGCUUUAAUGCUGAAGUCCAAAGACGUUCACUUCUUUCUGAGGACAAUCUCAGUUGUUUGUGGCAACAGGAAAGAACCUGCCUUUCCCCCCAGCACAUGUCUUUUGUCCUCAUUGGGGAUGGGCUGCCCAAUGGACAGUCUGCUUGCAAGCUUGUGUGGACUCGCCUGUGGGAAGUUCUCUGGGAAGAAGAUCAUCACGAAUGGCUGGAUCUAGGGCCCUCGAGUGAGGUCCUACAGUGCCCGUUGCAUGGUCAGAUCAGAGCACUCAUCCUGCAGCACUGUAAUGGCCUGUUUACUUCCCCAUCUGCCCUCACUACAUGGUCACCUGCCUUCCUAAAGCCAGGUACUGUAUCUGAUUCAUCGCUGCCCCCGUGCCUAUAGCAAUACAACCAC